rnacentral:lncRNA from 1 species
GGAAGCUUCCUCCUUUGAUGUCACCCAUGACAUCAAGAGGUGGUAGUUUGAUGUCACCAAUGACAUCAAGAGGAGAACUUUACCUCGAUAAAUAGAUGCACUCCUUCACUUGUAGAAAUCAUCCCAAAAACAAUACAAUACAUUGUAGUGAUUAGAGAGUUAAGAGAGAAAUUCUCUUAAGUGUAAUUGGAAAAUCUCCCCUUCCUUUAUUAAUAUUAAAAGGGCAAUUGUUCUCUGGUGGACGUAGGAUUAUUUUGAUCCGAACCACGUUAAAUCUUGUGUUCUUUUAAUAUUAAAAGGCAAAUUGUUCUCUGGUGGACGUAGGAUUAUUUUGAUCCGAACCACAUCAAAUCUUGUGUUCUUUCUUUUACGUUUCUGCUAACAAUUGGUAUCAGAGCAACAGGAUUCUUUAAUGAUCCAAGGAGAAAGAACAAGCAAAGAUGAGUUCAAUGAAGUUUGAAAUUGAUAGAUUCAAUGGACGCAACAACUUCAAUAUCUGGAAGAUCCAGAUGAUGGUGUUACUGCGGAGGGAAGGUUCAAUCCAUGCUAUUGACGGAAAGUAUUCUACGGAUAUAUCAGUUCCCGACAAGCAAAAGAUUAAAGGGGAUGCAUUGAGUGCAAUCCAAUUAUCCCUUGCACCUAACGUGCUUUGUGAAGUGAGUACGGGUACCGAAUAGACGGCCAAACAGUUAUGGGAAAAGCUAGAAGGGCUAUACCAAGACCGAUCAAUGACAACAAGAAUGUUGUUACAACGGCGUCUUCACACAUUUAAGAUGGGGUCAGGUACUUUGUUACAAGAUCAUUUAGAUGCGUUUAAUAGACUUGUCAUGGACUUACAAAUUACAGGAAUUAAAAGGGAGGAGGAGACGCUUGCAUGUGCUUUGCUAUUUUCAUUGACUUCUGGAUAUCGUGAUAUUGAGAAUUCAAUGAUGUAUAGCAAAGAGCCUAUCAAGUUUGAGCAAGUGCGGCAGACACUUAACUCUACUGAUGUGCGAAGGCACAUUGAAGGAGAUAGAGAUGACCAGGCAAGUGGGCUCUUUGUGAGAGGCCGGACUAGCCAACAGGGAAAGAGCAAAUCAAAGCACAGAUCAAAGUCUCGUGUGAACAAGAAGAAUACUGAUUGUUGGGGCUGUGGCAAGAAGGGGCACUUUCAGCACAGAUCAAAGUCUCGAGUGAACAAGAAAAAUACAGAGUGUUGGGGUUGUGGCAAGAAGGGGCACUUUGAACGAGAUUGCCCUAUGUCAAAGUCUAAGGAAAAGGCGAGUGCAUCUACAGUUGAACAGGUACAUGAUUUUGAUAAUGAUUAUGUACUAAUAACAUCGUGUAAUAAUAGUAGUUACGAAAAAAAUGGGUAUCAGACUCUUUUUGUACUCUGUAUAUGACGUUCCGAAAAGACUAGUUUAGAAGCUAUGAAAAAAGUGGAGGAAACAUAGUAAUGGGCAAUAAUGCAACUCGUGCAUUAGUUGGCAUUAGCUCAGUUCGGGUUCGCUACCAUGAUGGACUCGUAAGGAUUAUUUCACAAGAUAAUAAUAAUAAUAGUAGUUAUGAAAAUAAAUGGGUGUUAAACUCUACUUGUACUCUCCAUAUGACGUUCCAAAAAGACUGGUUUAGCAGCUACGAGAAAAGUGGAGGAACCGUAGUAAUGGGCAAUAAUGAAACUUGUGCAAUAGUUGGCAUUGGCUCAGUUCGAUUUCACUGCCAUGAUGGAGUCGUGAGGACUAUUACACAAGUCCGUCAUGUUCCUGAUCUGAAGAAGAAUUUGAUCUCCCUAGAGUACUCUAGAUGAACAAGGCUAUAGGUACAUGCGCGAAGCAGGAACUAUGAAGAUGACUAAAGGUUCUUUAGUCAUGCUGAAAGGCAAGCUGGAGAAUUUGUUGGCUCUGCAAAUGCAUCUACGGUGCAGUUAUCUAAUGAUGACAAGGCAAGACUAUGGCACAUGAGACUGGGUCAUAUGAGCGCACGUGAUCAUGUUGAAAGGCAAGCUGGAGAACGGCCUUUACACAUUGGCCGGAAGCACCAUUGUUGGCUAUGCAAAUGCAUCUACAGUGCAGUUAUCUAAUGAUGACAAGGCAAGACUAUGGCACAUGAGACUGGGUCAUAUGAGCGCACGUGGACUGGAGAUAUUGAGAAAUCGUAAACUUUUGGAAGGUGAGAAGAUCAUCACACUUGACUUCUGUGGUGCACGUGGACUAGAGAUGUUGAGCAAUCGUAACCUUCCGAAAAUCAGCACACUUGACUUCUGUGAGCACUGCGUUCUAGGGAAGCAGAAGAAGGCCAGCUUCAGCACCGGCAAACACAAGACAAGAGGAGUGCUAGACUAAGAUUUAUGGGGUCCUUCUAAACUUCCAUCGAAGGGCGGAAAGAGGUAUCUUUUCACUUUUAUUGAUGAUUUCUCACGAAAGGUUUAGGUGUAUUUUUUGAAGGCAAAAAGUGAUGCUUUUGAAGCAUUUAAAGAGUGGAAGAUUUUGGUUGAAAAUCAAAUGUAGCGGAAAAUCAAGUAUCUUCGCAUAGACAAUGGCUUGGAAUUUUGCAAUGAAGAGUUUAAUGAAUUAUGUAAGGUUCGCGGGAUCUCAAGAAAUAGGACUGUCAGGCAUACCCCACAGCAAAAUGGAGUUGCCGAGAGAAUGAACAGAACUCUUCUUGAAAAGGCUCGUUGUAUGCUCCUACAAGCCAAAAUGUCCAAAGUAAUUUGGGCCGAAGUAGUUCACAUUGCUGAUCAUAUUGUCAAUCGAUGUCUAGCAUCAGCAAUUGACAUUAAGACUCGGAAUGAGGUAUGGUCAGGUGAACCCUCAGAGCUUCCGAUGGAGCUUGCCAAGGAAAAGGAUCAAGAGAGUCAGGUUAAAGAUGAGUCAGAAGAUGCAGGCCACGAAGAACUUGCUGUCAAUGAACCAUACACAAUUGCGAAGGGGAGGGAGAAAAGACAGACACGAGAAUCAGAACGCCUUAUAAAUCAAGCAAACUUGAUUGCAUAUGCAUUCGUAACUGCACAAGAAGAGAUUAAGGAUCUGGAGCCCUCCUCGUAUAUUGAAGCAACUUCUUGCAAGGAUGUUGCGCAGUGGCGGUUAGCCAUGACUGAAGAGAUGGAGUCUCUUCACAAGAAUAAGACAUGGGUCUUAGUGAAAAGACAAAGGGGGAAGAGGACAGUUAGAUGCAAGUGGGUCUACCGAAAGAAAUAGAAAAUUCCCGAAGUGGAAGAUGCUAGGUUCAAGGCGAGAUUGGUUGCGAAAGGUUUCAGUCACAAGGAGGGAAUUGACUACAAUGAGAUUUUCUCUCCAGUCGUGAAGCAUAGCUCAAUUUGCGUGUUGCUAGCAUUGGUUGCACAAUUUGACUUGGAGCGUCAACAGCUUGAUGUCAAAACUGUUUUCUUACACGGUGAUCUAGAAGAGACCAUCUAUAUGGAUCAGCCUGAAGAUUUCCUAGCUGAGGGAAAAGAAGAUCAUGUAUGCCAACUAAAGAAGUCUUUGUAUGAUUUGAAGCAAUCCCCUAGACAGUGGUACAAAAGGUUUGAUGCAUUCAUGACUACACAUGAUUUCUCAAGGAGUGCAUUUGAUAGUUGUGUGUAUCACAAGAAGAUGUCUGGUAACUCAAUGAUUUAUUUACUGUUGUAUGUUGAUGAUAUGCUUAUUGCUGCUAACAAAAUUACAGAGAUAAAUGCCUUAAACAAAACUAUUGAGCAAGGAAUUUGACAUGAAUGAUGCUUAUUGCUGCUAACAAAAUUACAUAGAUAAUUGCUUUAAAGAAACUGUUGAGUAAGGAAUUUGACAUGAAGGAUUCAGGAACUGCAAGGAAAAUCCUUGGUAUGGAGAUUUCAAGAGAAGACGGUGUUGUACAUCUUUCUCAGAAAAGGUAUAUUGAGAGGGUUCUCGAGAGAUUCAAUAUGCAUACGUGCAAGCCUGUAAGUACACCAUUAGCUCCUCAUUUUAAACUUUCAGAGUCACAAAUGCCUCAGUUCGAGGAUGAGGUGGAACAUAUGUCAAAGAUUCCUUAUGCCAGUGCAGUUGGUAGCAUUAUGUAUGCUAUGGUAUGCACACGUCCAGAUAUUGCUCAAUCUGUAAGUGUGGUAAGUAGAUACAUGUCAGUCCGAGGAUGAGGUGGAGCAUAUGUCAAAGAACUUAUGCCAGUGCAGUUGGUAACAUUAUGUAUGCUAUGGUAUGCGCACGUCCAGAUAUUGUGUGGUAAGUAUACAUGUCCAACCCAAGAAAGAGGCAUUGGGAAGCUGUCAAGUGGAUAUUGAGAUAUCUCAAAGGAGCUUCUGGUGUUAGUCUUACCUUUCGAAAAAGUGGUGGAGGUAUUUCAAUUCUCGGUUAUGUGGAUUCUGACUAUGCAGGAGAUCUUGACAGAAAAAGGUCCACAGCUGGAUAUAUCUUUACCCGCAUUGGCAGUGCCGUCAGUUGGAAGUUGACUCUGCAGCCAAUUGUCAUUGACAGAAGAAGGUCUACAGCUGGAUACAUAUUUACCCUCGUUGGCAGUGCCAUCAGUUGGAAGUCGACUCUGCAGUCGAUUGUCGCUUUGUCUACGACAGAAGCAGAAUACAUGGCAGCAGCGGAGGUGGUGAAGGAAGCUAUCUGGUUGAAAGGUUUAGUAGCGGAAUUGAGUUUGGUUCAGCUGGAAUCAACUCUUAGAUGUGAUAGUCAGAGUGUUAUUCCAUCUUUACCCUCGUUGGCAGUGCCGUCAGUUGGAAGUCGACUCUGCAGUCGAUUGUCGCUUUGUCUACGACAGAAGCAGAAUACAUGGCAGCAGCGGAGGCGGUAAAGGAAGCUAUCUGGUUGAAAAGAAUAGUAGCGGAAUUGAGUUUGGUUCAGCUGGAAUCAACUCAUAGAUGUGAUAGUCAGAGUGCUAUUCAUCUAAUGAAAAAUCAGAGAUUUCAUGAGCGCACUAAACACAUUGAUGUCAGAUUUCAUUUUAUUCGAGAUGUUGUUGAAGAGGGAAUUCUGACUAUGCAGGAGAUCUUGACAGAAGGUCCACAACUGGAUACAUCUUUACCCUCGUUGGCAGUGCCGUCAGUUGGAAGUCGACUCUGCAGUCGAUUGUCGCUUUGUCUACGACAGAAGCAGAAUACAUGGCAGCAGCGGAGGCGGUAAAGGAAGCUAUCUGGUUGAAAAGAAUAGUAGCGGAAUUGAGUUUGGUUCAGCUGGAAUCAACUCAUAGAUGUGAUAGUCAGAGUGCUAUUCAUCUAAUGAAAAAUCAGAGAUUUCAUGAGCGCACUAAACACAUUGAUGUAAGAUUUCAUUUUAUUCGAGAUGUUGUUAAUGAGGGAACUAUCAAGGUCGUGAAGGUUAUCACAGACGAUAACGCUGCAGACAUGUUGACCAAGAUAGUCCCGCUCGCUAAGUUUGCACACUGCAAGGACUUGGCGGAUCUUUACCUUUAUAAAUAGAUGCACUUCUUCACUUGUAGAAAACAUCCCAAAAACAAUACAAUACAUUGUAGUGAGUAGAGAGUUAAGAGAGAAAUUCUCUUAAGUGUAAUUGGGAAAUCUCCCCUUCCUUUGUUACUAUUAAAAGGGCAAUUGUUCUCUGGUGGACAUAGGAUUAUUUUGAUCCGAACCACGUUAAAUCUUGUGUUCUUU